rnacentral:rRNA from 1 species
AUACGUAGGGGGCGAGCGUUGUCCGGAAUGAUUGGGCGUAAAGGGCGCGUAGGCGGCUUUGCAAGUCAGUAGUGGAAGUCCAUUUUUCAAGGAUGGAAGUGCUACAGAAACUGCGGAGCUUGAGUGCAGGAGAGGUUAUCGGAAUUCCCGGUGUAGCGGUGAAAUGCGUAGAGAUCGGGAGGAACACCAGUGGCGAAGGCGGGUAACUGGACUGCAACUGACGCUGAGGCGCGAAAGUGUGGGGAGCAAACAGGAUUAGAUACCCUAGUAGUCCACACUGUAAACGAUGAAUGCUAGGUGUAGGAGGUAUCGACCCCUUCUGUGCCGCAGUAAACACAGUAAGCAUUCCGCCUGGGGAGUACGGUCGCAAGAUUAAAACUCAAAUGAAUUGACGGG